rnacentral:rRNA from 1 species
AGAGUUUGAUCAUGGCUCAGAACGAACGCUGGCGGCAUGCCUAACACAUGCAAGUCGAACGAGACCUUCGGGUCUAGUGGCGCACGGGUGCGUAACGCGUGGGAAUCUGCCCUUGGGUUCGGGAUAACAGUUGGAAACGACUGCUAAUACCGGAUGAUGACUUCGGUCCAAAGAUUUAUCGCCCAGGGAUGAGCCCGCGUAGGAUUAGCUAGUUGGUGAGGUAAAGGCUCACCAAGGCGACGAUCCUUAGCUGGUCUGAGAGGAUGAUCAGCCACACUGGGACUGAGACACGGCCCAGACUCCUACGGGAGGCAGCAGUGGGGAAUAUUGGACAAUGGGCGAAAGCCUGAUCCAGCAAUGCCGCGUGAGUGAUGAAGGCCUUAGGGUUGUAAAGCUCUUUUACCCGGGAUGAUAAUGACAGUACCGGGAGAAUAAGCCCCGGCUAACUCCGUGCCAGCAGCCGCGGUAAUACGGAGGGGGCUAGCGUUGUUCGGAAUUACUGGGCGUAAAGCGCGCGUAGGCGGCUUUGUAAGUUAGAGGUGAAAGCCCGGAGCUCAACUCCGGAACUGCCUUUAAGACUGCAUCGCUAGAAUUGUGGAGAGGUGAGUGGAAUUCCGAGUGUAGAGGUGAAAUUCGUAGAUAUUCGGAAGAACACCAGUGGCGAAGGCGACUCACUGGACACAUAUUGACGCUGAGGUGC